rnacentral:rRNA from 1 species
GACGAACGCUGGCGGCGUGCUUAACACAUGCAAGUCGAACGGAAAGGCCCUGCUUUUGUGGGGUGCUCGAGUGGCGAACGGGUGAGUAACACGUGAGUAACCUGCCCUUGACUUUGGGAUAACUUCAGGAAACUGGGGCUAAUACCGGAUAGGAGCUCCUGCUGCAUGGUGGGGGUUGGAAAGUUUCGGCGGUUGGGGAUGGACUCGCGGCUUAUCAGCUUGUUGGUGGGGUAGUGGCUUACCAAGGCUUUGACGGGUAGCCGGCCUGAGAGGGUGACCGGCCACAUUGGGACUGAGAUACGGCCCAGACUCCUACGGGAGGCAGCAGUGGGGAAUAUUGCACAUUGGGCGGAAGCCUGAUGCAGCAACGCCGCGUGCGGGAUGACGGCCUUCAGGUUGUAAACCGCUUUCGCCUGUGACGAAGCGUGAGUGACGGUAAUGGGUAAAGAAGCACCGGCUAACUACGUG